CCUACGGGGGGCAGCAGUGGGGAAUAUUGCACAAUGGGGGAAACCCUGAUGCAGCGACGCCGCGUGAGUGAAGAAGUAUUUCGGUACGUAAAGCUCUAUCAGCAGGGAAGAAAAAAAGUCCUUUGGACUUUGGACGGUACCUGACUAAGAAGCCCCGGCUAACUACGUGCCAGCAGCCGCGGUAAUACGUAGGGGGCAAGCGUUAUCCGGAUUUACUGGGUGUAAAGGGAGCGUAGACGGCAGCGCAAGUCUGGAGUGAAAUGCCGGGGCCCAACCCCGGAACUGCUUUGGAAACUGUGCAACUGGAGUGCAGGAGAGGUAAGCGGAAUUCCAAGUGUAGCGGUGAAAUGCGUAGAUAUUAGGAGGAACACCAGUGGCGAAAGCGGCUUCCUGGACUGUAACUGACGUUGAGGCUCGAAAGCGUGGGGAGCAAACAGGAUUAGAUACCCGUGUAGUC
rnacentral:rRNA from 1 species